rnacentral:rRNA from 1 species
CAGCGGCGGACGGGUGAGUAAUGCCUAGGAAUCUGCCCGAUAGUGGGGGACAACGUUUCGAAAGGAACGCUAAUACCGCAUACGUCCUACGGGAGAAAGCAGGGGACCUUCGGGCCUUGCGCUAUCGGAUGAGCCUAGGUCGGAUUAGCUAGUUGGUGGGGUAAAGGCUCACCAAGGCGACGAUCCGUAACUGGUCUGAGAGGAUGAUCAGUCACACUGGAACUGAGACACGGUCCAGACUCCUACGGGAGGCAGCAGUGGGGAAUAUUGGACAAUGGGCGAAAGCCUGAUCCAGCCAUGCCGCGUGUGUGAAGAAGGUCUUCGGAUUGUAAAGCACUUUAAGCUGGGAGGAAGGGCAGUAAGCUAAUACCUUGCUGUUUUGACGUUACCAGCAGAAUAAGCACCGGCUAACUUCGUGCCAGCAGCCGCGGUAAUACGAAGGGUGCAAGCGUUAAUCGGAAUUACUGGGCGUAAAGCGCGCGUAGGUGGUUCAGCAAGUUGGAUGUGAAAGCCCCGGGCUCAACCUGGGAACUGCAUCCAAAACUACUGGGCUAGAGUAUGGUAGAGGGUGGUGGAAUUUCCUGUGUAGCGGUGAAAUGCGUAGAUAUAGGAAGGAACACCAGUGGCGAAGGCGACCACCUGGACUAAUACUGACACUGAGGUGCGAAAGCGUGGGGAGCAAACAGGAUUAGAUACCCUGGUAGUCCACGCCGUAAACGAUGUCAACUAGUUGUUGGGUUCCUUGAGGACUUAGUAACGAAGCUAACGCGAUAAGUUGACCGCCUGGGGAGUACGGCCGCAAGGUUAAAACUCAA